UACGAAGGGGGCUAGCGUUGUUCGGAAUUACUGGGCGUAAAGGGCGCGUAGGCGGUGUGUCAAGUCAGGCGUGAAAGCCCCGGGCUCAACCUGGGAACCGCGCUUGAGACUGGCACGCUCGAGUUCGGGAGAGGAUGGUGGGAAUUCCCAGUGUAGAGGUGAAAUUCGUAGAUAUUGGGAAGAACACCGGAUGGCGAAGGCAGCCAUCUGGACCGACACUGACGCUGAGGCGCGAAAGCGUGGGGAGCAAACAGG
rnacentral:rRNA from 1 species